rnacentral:rRNA from 1 species
CCUACGGGUGGCAGCAGUGAGGAAUAUUGGUCAAUGGCCGUAAGGCUGAACCAGCCACGUCGCGUGAAGGAUGAAGGUUCUAUGAUUUGUAAACUCCUUUUAUAGGGGAAUACAGUUAUCCCCGUGUUGAUAUUUGCAUGUACCCUAUGAAUAAGCAUCGGCUAACUCCGUGCCAGCAGCCGCGGUACUACGGAGGGUGCGAGCGUUCUCCGGAUUUAUUGGGUUUAAAGGGUGCGUAGGUGGUUUGUUAAGUCAUCGUGGAAAGUUUGGGGCUCAACCAUGAAAUUGCCGUUGAAACUGGAAGACUUGAGUGUGUUUGAGGAAGGCGGAAUGCGGGGUGUAGGGGUGAAAUGCAUAGAUAUCACGAAGAACACCGAUGGCGAAGGCAGCUAACU